AUCCAGCUGACGGGUCUUAAAUAAGACGAAACGCAUGUCCUAGAU
rnacentral:hammerhead_ribozyme from 1 species